AUUGAACGCUGGCGGCAGGCUUAACACAUGCAAGUCGAGCGGAGUGAUGGUGCUUGCACUAUCACUUAGCGGCGGACGGGUGAGUAAUGCUUAGGAAUCUGCCUAUUAGUGGGGGACAACAUCUCGAAAGGGAUGCUAAUACCGCAUACGUCCUACGGGAGAAAGCAGGGGAUCACUUGUGACCUUGCGCUAAUCGAUGAGCCUAAGUCGGAUUGGCUAGUUGGUGGGGUAAAGGCCUACCAAGGCGACGAUCUGUAGCGGGUCUGAGAGGAUGAUCCGCCACACUGGGACUGAGACACGGCCCAGACUCCUACGGGAGGCAGCAGUGGGGAAUAUUGGACAAUGGGGGGAACCCUGAUCCAGCCAUGCCGCGUGUGUGAAGAAGGCCUUAUGGUUGUAAAGCACUUUAAGCGAGGAGGAGGCUCUUUUGGUUAAUACCCAAGAUGAGUGGACGUUACUCGCAGAAUAAGCACCGGCUAACUCUGUGCCAGCCGCCGCCGUAA
rnacentral:rRNA from 1 species